rnacentral:ribozyme from 1 species
AACAGGAACAGAAGGAGAGAGGAAGAGAGAGAGAGAGAGAGAGAUGAAAUACCCGGAACCACUGAAAAUCGUUUCAAGAUUUUUUUUUUUUUUGAAAGCCUUCAAAUUUUUUUUUCCCGCUCUGAUCUGUUUUGCUCUUUGUUUUUUCAAACAAAAGUUCGCAAAAACUCAAAAAGAAAAAAAAAAUAAAUCCCUAGACAACCCGCCAAAGGAACAAAAAGAAAACAAUGCAGUUCAAAU